rnacentral:snoRNA from 1 species
CCUCUCUCAGAAUCGCACCUGGAGAGUUUCCAGGACUCUACCAGUUUCAGCUACAGGAGGGAGAGUCAAGCAGAGACAUACCCAUUCCAUUUCUAGCUUGGGCAGUGGCUAGCAAGUGGAAGGCAAUCUGCUACAAGU